GGGUGAUUAGCUCAGCUGGGAGAGCACCUCCCUUACCAAGGAGGGGGUCGGCGGUUCGAUCCCGUCAUCACCCACCA
rnacentral:tRNA from 1 species